AGUGAACGCUGGCGGUAUGCCUAACACAUGCAAGUCGAACGGCAGCACAGUAAGAGCUCGCUCUUACGGUUGGCGACGGGCGGGUGAGUGAGGAGUACGUAGCCAUCUACUGUGUCUGGGGGGACAACGGAGGAACACAUACGCUAAUAGCGCAUACGACGAACGGGUGGGAUCGGUGGAGCUUGGGACCUUGGGCGAGUCAAUGAGCCGUUGUCGGGUUGGCUAGUUGGCGGGGUAACGGCCCACCAAGGCGACGAUCCGUAGCUGGUCUGAGCGGAUGAUCGGCCACCCUGGACCUGAGACACGGUCCAGCCUCCUACGGGAGGCAGCAGUGGGAAUAUUGGACAAUGGGGGCAAGCCUGAUCCAGCCAUCCCGCGUGGGUGAAGAAGGCCUUCGGGUUGUAAAGCCCUUUUGUUGGGAAAGAAACGCAGCAGGUUAAUACCCCGCUGUUCUGACGGUACCCAAAGAAUAAGCACCGGCUAACUUCGUG
rnacentral:rRNA from 1 species